UCCUAGGAAUAGAAUCACUCCAUCAAAGGGUGUAAAUUGUCAAUCUACCUGCUUCUCAAUUGAAGAGUUUUGCUGAAUUCCAGCAUUGGCACCUCCAUUGUUUGACCCAUCUUAUUGCCCUGGUUGGGUUGAAGAGGAGCAGUACCAGCAGGCUUCCAGAGUUAACUCUCCUGCUGCCUCCACUUGGGUAAGCUGUAUCUGCCAGUCUCUUCAAUUUGCGGGGAAGAAGUUAUCCUCGUGACCUCAAUUCUCUGAUGGAGCUAACAAGAGUGGCUGAUACUCAGAUUGUUCAGCUAUUCUCCUUUUGUUAUUGUGAUAUCUGUGUCCACAGUUUCUGGUACAAGAGCUUCUAAAUCCCUUGGAAUCUCCUGAGUGAUAGGGAUAACUUCAGGAUGGCGAAUGGUCAACAGAAAGACCAACGUAUGAUCAGAGGGUUAGGACCUGCAGUCCCACCCCCCAACCUCCAGCAAGGGGAGAGUGGUUGGAGAUGCGUCCAAUCACC